GACGAACGCUGGCGGCGUGCUUAACACAUGCAAGUCGAACGAAGUGGCGAACGGGUGAGUAACGCGUAAUCAACAUGCCCUUCAGAGGGGGAAAACAGUUGGAAACGACUGCUAAUACCGCAUACUGAAGGAGGGGAUGGCGUCUGAUUAGCGAGUUGGUUGGGUAACGGCCACCCAAGGCGAUGAUCAGUAGCCAGGCGGAGAGGAUGAGCGGCCACAUUGGGACUGAGACACGGCCCAGACUCCUACGGGAGGCAGCAGUGGGGAAUCGUCCGCAAUGGACGAAAGUCUGACGGAGCAACGCCGCGUGAGUGAUGACGGCCUUCGGGUUGUAAAGCUCUGUUAAUCGGGACGCGGUACCGGAAUAGAAAGCCACGGCUAACUACGUGCCAGCAACCGCGGUAAUUC
rnacentral:rRNA from 1 species